rnacentral:rRNA from 1 species
UAGGAAUCUUGGGAAUGCGCGAAAGCGUGACCCAGCAACGCCGCGUGGGCGAUGAAGGCCUUCGGGUUGUAAAGCCCUUUUGCGGGGGAAGAUGAUGACGGUACCCCGCGAAUAAGCCACGGCUAACUACGUGCCAGCAGCCGCGGUAAUACGGAGGGGGCUAGCGUUGUUCGGAAUUACUGGGCGUAAAGCGCACGUAGGCGGAUUGGAAAGUCAGAGGUGAAAUCCCAGGGCUCAACCUUGGAACU